AUUGAACGCUGGCGGCAGGCCUAACACAUGCAAGUCGAGCGGAUGAAGGGAGCUUGCUCCUGGAUUCAGCGGCGGACGGGUGAGUAAUGCCUAGGAAUCUGCCUGGUAGUGGGGGAUAACGUCCGGAAACGGGCGCUAAUACCGCAUACGUCCUGAGGGAGAAAGUGGGGGAUCUUCGGACCUCACGCUAUCAGAUGAGCCUAGGUCGGAUUAGCUAGUUGGUGGGGUAAAGGCCUACCAAGGCGACGAUCCGUAACUGGUCUGAGAGGAUGAUCAGUCACACUGGAAGUGAGACACGGUCCAGACUCCUACGGGAGGCAGCAGUGGGGAAUAUUGGACAAUGGGCGAAAGCCUGAUCCAGCCAUGCCGCGUGUGUGAAGAGGGUCUUCGGAUUGUAAAGCACUUUAAGUUGGGAGGAAGGGCAGUAAGUUAAUACCUUGCUGUUUUGACGUUACCAACAGAAUAAGCACCGGCUAACUUCGUG
rnacentral:rRNA from 1 species